AAACGGGUACCAUGCUAGAUGAUUCAUACACCGGGACCAGGUAGGGAUGUCAGGAGAUUGUUCCUAACUUUGUAAAUUUAAAAAAAGGUUUUCCAGGGGCGCCUGGGUGGCUCAGUCAGGUGAGCACCUGACUCCUGAUUUUGGCUCAGGUCAUGAUCCCCGGGUCACAGGGUCGAGCCCUGCAUCGGGCUUCUCACUGAGCAUGGAGCCUGCUUAAGAUUCUCUCUCUCUCCCUCUCCCCCUACGUCUCUCCCUGGCUCGGCCUCUCUCUCUCUCUCAAAACAAAAUAAAAUAAAUACAUAAAUACAGGUUUUUAUUACACAUUGGAUCGAUGAGAAAUUACACUUGUUAAGAAAUUAUCACCUAUAACAGAAAAGUACAGCCAAGACCUGCACCCCAACCCCCAGGGGAAGAUACAGGACGUCGCCCUAUGUGCCCUCCCCAGGCCCCUCCCCUGUCCCUCGGAGGGAACUCGCUCCCGAGUCUUACCCUACCAUUCCCACGGCCCUGUGCAGCUUCGCCUCACGUUCUUACGUGCCGACACGCUCUUGAAAUCGAUGAGUGGCCUCUUGCCGGGCGUUUCCCUUCCUCCUGCACUUUUGGCCACGAUGCACCCAUUUCUUUCAUUUCUGCGAUUCACCUAUUUAGUCGCAGGCAGCUUUGGGCCGUUCACCCUCACUCUCGUAGGACGCUCCUUUACGUGAACGUAAUACGGUUUCUGUGCCCGUUCCGCUGUUGGCGGACGUCUGGACGAUUUCUCACAACGCACCUCUGUAAACGGUUCCUCUGUGAGGGCUCAGGGUGUGCGUCCUGAAGCCCUGUCCUCUGGGGGAUUUUCUGGGUCACCGGGCACGUACCCACUCAACGUGACAUCGUGCCCUUCCCCAUCCUGAAGUGACCCAUUUACUGUCCUCUACGAUCUUCUAAGACUUGUCCCAUUUUGCCUUUCCAUUAAGAGCUGAAAUAAACCUGUAAUUAAUUUUUCUGAAUAGUG